UUGAGUCUGGGCAAGGACCUUAGCCACAUGUUAUCUGCCCUGUCUGUCCCUCUCAUCAUUUCCUUCCAACCCCGUCUCCCAGAAAUUACAUUCAUAUACUACUAAUUUGUUUUGCCAGUUGCAUACUAAUGGGAAUCAUCAUUUUUGUCUGGUUUCCUAAUUUUUUGUAGCAAACACAACAUUUUUGAAAAUAUUAUUUUUAGAAAUUGAUUAUGUUUGUUUUGCAUAAAUGGUCAUUCAUAUUUCUUUAGUAAAUGUCUGUGACCACUAAAAAUAAAUAUUGUAUUUUGUAAAAUCCAUUCUGUAAGAUUCCUGCGAUGUUGUUUUGUAUACUUAGGCCCUGUUCAGACCUGGUAUUAACAUGCGUCCUCAGUGAUCCGAUCACAAGUGGACGGCUUUAAGUACAGGUGUGAACGCACUCAAGACGCAUUGAGGAUGCAUUGAGAUCGGAUCUUUCAGACCACAUUCAGAGGUGGUCUGGGCCACAUAUGACCACAUUCUUUUAGUAGUUUGUUACGCGAAUGCGUCCUGGGCUACAUUAAGGACCGCCUACUCAUCUGAUGUCCAGCUGGGAUCCGCGGGAUCACCGCGCCCCUCAGAGCGGGGAAGUGAGAUCGGAUCACAAGUGGCCAGCGAUGACGCACGUGGAGACGCAUUCUAAUGCCAGAUGUGGACAGAUGUACUCAAAGCCGUCCACGUGUGAUUGGAUCACUGAGUACGCAUCUUAAUGCCAGGUCUGAACAGGGCCUCAGUAUCUAAGGUCAUCUGUAAAUCACAUGACUAAUCUGUGGAUGACAUAUGAGGACACUGGAUACGACUCUGAUGGCCAACAUGUUUGGUAGACUCCGAGCCCACAGGUGGAGGCUUGGGUGGAGUCGACAGACUGAACUAGCUCGCAGACUUCACCUGACGAAGAGAUGGUGGGAACGUCUGUUUGAAAUCCUCUGGAGCUACAGCAGCUUGUGAUUAGAUGAAUAACCUAGUUAGCAUGAGCAGUGGAGACGCCAUGGCUGAACAAAGAAAAGAAGUGGCAUCUACAGAAAGUCAAACAUCAUUCAUAGAAAAUCAAAGGAUGAUGUUUGAAUUGAAGUAUGAAUGACUGAAGGACAGUGCAGUCAAAGUAUUAGCUACAUUUCAAAGUAGAAAUGUCUACAGUUAAUGUAUUGAAAAAACAGCUAUACAGUCACGGCAUGUAUUUUCUUAAACAAGAGCAGAAAGUCAGGACAGAAAUGAAAAGCAGUCAUUGAUUUGUGGAUAAUGCAACGUACAAACAUAGA